GGCCUGAUGGUCUAGUAGUAUGAUUCCUUGUUAGGGAAAGCCCCGGGCAUGAAUCCGGGUGCUUACGUAAUCGAGGAGGUCCUGGGUUCAAUUCCCAGUUAGGCCC